rnacentral:rRNA from 1 species
GACAGAGGGUGCAAACGUUGUUCGGAAUUACUGGGCGUAAAGGGCGCGCAGGCGGCUCUGAAAGUCAGAUGUGAAAGCCCCGGGCUUAACCUGGGAAUUGCAUUUGAUACUCUGGAGCUUGAGUACGGGAGAGGAGAGUGGAAUUCCCAGUGUAGAGGUGAAAUUCGUAGAUAUUGGGAAGAACACCGGUGGCGAAGGCGGCUCUCUGGACCGUAACUGACGCUGAGGCGCGAAAGCUAGGGGAGCAAACAGG